GACGAACGCUGGCGGCGUGCCUAACACAUGCAAGUCGAACGGCAAGACACUGAUAGUGUGCGGUGCCCGGGGGGCGAACGGGUGAGUAACAGGUGUAUAACCUGCUCUACUCUUUGGGAGAACUUAAGGAAACUGAGGUUAAUACAGGAUCGGAGACCACGUAGCGGGGAGAGCGUGGGAAAGUCGCGGCGGGUGUGGAUGGAUUCGCGGCUUAUCAGCUAGUUGGUGGGGUAGUGGCUGACCAAGGCUUUGACGGGUAGCCGACCGGAGAGGGUGACCGGCCACAUUGGUCCUGCGAUACGCCCCAGUGUCCUACGGUAGACAGCAGUGGGGAAUCUUGCCCAAUGAGCCCACGCCUGAUGCAGCGACGCCGCGUUCGUGAUGACGUUCUGUGGGUUGUAAACCGCAUCCGCCUGUUACGAAGCUUUAGUGACGGUACUGAGUGAAGAAGCACCGGCUAACUACGUG
rnacentral:rRNA from 1 species